rnacentral:rRNA from 1 species
UACAGAGGGUGCGAGCGUUUGUCCGGAAUCACUGGGCGUAAAGGGCGCGUAGGUGGCGACCCAAGUCGAUGGUGAAAGCUCGCCGCUCAACGGCGAGUCGGCCACCGAUACUGGGUUGCUGGAGCACUGUAGAGGCUCAUGGAAUUCCGGGUGUAGCGGUGGAAUGCGUAGAGAUCCGGAAGAACGACCGGUGGCGAAGGCGGGUCUCUGGGCCUGCAC